rnacentral:tRNA from 1 species
GCCUUUGUAGUGUAGUGGUCAGCACGCUCGACGCGUAACCGAGAGGCCCAUGGUUCGAUUCCCGGAGAAGGCG